rnacentral:rRNA from 1 species
ACGGGUGAGUAAUAUAUUGGAACGUACCGAGUAAUGGGGGAUAACCAAUCGAAAGAUUGGCUAAUACCGCAUACGCUCUGAGGAGGAAAGCAGGGGACCUUCGGGCCUUGCGUUAUUCGAGCGGCCAAUAUCUGAUUAGCUAGUUGGUGGGGUAAAGGCCUACCAAGGCGACGAUCAGUAGCGGGUCUGAGAGGAUGAUCCGCCACACUGGGACUGAGACACGGCCCAGACUCCUACGGGAGGCAGCAGUGGGGAAUAUUGCGCAAUGGGGGCAACCCUGACGCAGCCAUGCCGCGUGAAUGAAGAAGGCCUUCGGGUUGUAAAGUUCUUUCGGUAGCGAGGAAGGCAUUUAGUUUAAUAGACUAGGUGAUUGACGUUAACUACAGAAGAAGCACCGGCUAACUCCGUGCCAGCAGCCGCGGUAAUACGUAGGGUGCGAGCGUUAAUCGGAAUUACUGGGCGUAAAGCGAGCGCAGACGGUUACUUAAGCAGGAUGUGAAAUCCCCGGGCUCAACCUGGGAACUGCGUUCUGAACUGGGUGACUAGAGUGUGUCAGAGGGAGGUAGAAUUCCACGUGUAGCAGUGAAAUGCGUAGAGAUGUGGAGGAAUACCGAUGGCGAAGGCAGCCUCCUGGGAUAACACUGACGUUC